rnacentral:rRNA from 1 species
CAGCCCUAAACGAUGCGCGUUAGGUGUAUCGGUGACCACGAGUCAUCGAGGUGCCGAAGGGAAACCGUGAAACGUGCCGCCUGGGAAGUACGGUCGCAAGGCUGAAACUUAAAGGAAUUGGCGGGGGGAGGCACCACAACGGGUGGAGCCUGCGGUUUAAUUGGACUCAACGCCGGGAAGCUUACCGGAUAAGACAGCGGAAUGAUUGCCGGGCUGAAGACCCUGCAUGACCAGCUGAGAGGAGGUGCAUGGCGUCAGUGACU